rnacentral:rRNA from 1 species
GCAGUCGAGGGGUAUAGGUUUUCGGACCUAGAGACCGGCGCACGGGUGCGUAACGCGUAUGCAAUCUACCUUUUACAGAGGGAUAGCCCAGAGAAAUUUGGAUUAAUACCUCAUAGUAUUAUUGAAUGGCAUCAUUUAAUAAUUAAAGUCACAACGGUAAAAGAUGAGCAUGCGUCCCAUUAGCUAGUUGGUAAGGUAACGGCUUACCAAGGCAACGAUGGGUAGGGGUCCUGAGAGGGAGAUCCCCCACACUGGUACUGAGACACGGACCAGACUCCUACGGGAGGCAGCAGUGAGGAAUAUUGGUCAAUGGGCGCAAGCCUGAACCAGCCAUGCCGCGUGCAGGAUGACGGUCCUAUGGAUUGUAAACUGCUUUUGUACAGGAAGAAACAGUUCUACGUGUAGAACCUUGACGGUACUGUAAGAAUAAGGAUCGGCUAACUCCGUGCCAGCAGCCGCGGUAAUACGGAGGAUCCAAGCGUUAUCCGGAAUCAUUGGGUUUAAAGGGUCCGUAGGCGGUUUUGUAAGUCAGUGGUGAAAGCCCAUCGCUCAACGGUGGAACGGCCAUUGAUACUGCAAGACUUGAAUUAUUGGGAAGUAACUAGAAUAUGUAGUGUAGCGGUGAAAUGCUUAGAGAUUACAUGGAAUACCAAUUGCGAAGGCAGGUUACUACCAAUAUAUUGACGCUGAUGGACGAAAGCGUGGGGAGCGAACAGGAUUAGAUACCCUGGUAGUCCACGCCGUAAACGAUGGAUACUAGCUGUUCGGAGCAAUCUGAGUGGCUAAGCGAAAGUGAUAAGUAUCCCACCUGGGGAGUACGUUCGCAAGAAUGAAACUCAAAGGAAUUGACGGGGGCCCGCACAAGCGGUGGAGCAUGUGGU